rnacentral:rRNA from 1 species
CCUACGGGUGGCUGCAGUGGGGAAUAUUGGACAAUGGGCGAAAGCCUGAUCCAGCCAUGCCGCGUGUGUGAAGAAGGCCUUCGGGUUGUAAAGCACUUUCAGUGGGGAAGAAAGCCUUGGGGCUAAUACCCUCGAGGAAGGACAUCACCCACAGAAGAAGCACCGGCUAACUCCGUGCCAGCAGCCGCGGUAAUACGGAGGGUGCGAGCGUUAAUCGGAAUUACUGGGCGUAAAGCGCGCGUAGGCGGUCUGAUAAGCCGGUUGUGAAAGCCCCGGGCUCAACCUGGGAACGGCAUCCGGAACUGUCAGGCUAGAGUGCAGGAGAGGAAGGUAGAAUUCCCGGUGUAGCGGGGAAAUGCGUAGAGAUCGGGAGGAAUACCAGUGGCGAAGGCGGCCUUCUGGACUGACACUGACGCUGAGGUGCGAAAGCGUGGGUAGCAAACAGGAUUAGAUACCCGAGUAGUC